UUUAAGAGUGGCAUCACUUUUUUACUAAAGUUUAGGCGGUACAAGAUGAGCAUGCGUCCCAUUAGCUAGUUGGUAUGGUAACGGCAUACCAAGGCUACGAUGGGUAGGGGUCCUGAGAGGGAGAUCCCCCACACUGGUACUGAGACACGGACCAGACUCCUACGGGAGGCAGCAGUGAGGAAUAUUGGUCAAUGGUCGGAAGACUGAACCAGCCAUGCCGCGUGCAGGAAGACGGUCCUAUGGAUUGUAAACUGCUUUUAUACAGGAAGAAACCCUCUCACGAGUGGGAGCUUGACGGUACUGUAUGAAUAAGCAUCGGCUAACUCCGUGCCAGCAGCCGCGGUAAUACGGAGGAUGCGAGCGUUAUCCGGAAUCAUUGGGUUUAAAGGGUCCGUAGGCGGUUUAAUAAGUCAGUGGUGAAAUCUGGUCGCUCAACGAUCAAACUGCCAUUGAUACUGUUAGACUUGAAUAAUUGUGAAGUAACUAGAAUAUGUAGUGUAGCGGUGAAAUGCUUAGAUAUUACAUGGAAUACCAAUUGCGAAGGCAGGUUACUAACAAUUUAUUGACGCUGAUGGACGAAAGCGUGGGGAGCGAACAGGAUUAGAUACCCUGGUAGUCCACGCCGUAAACGAUGGAUACUAGCUGUUCGGCGCAAGUUGAGUGGCUAAGCGAAAGUGAUAAGUAUCCCACCUGGGGAGUACGCACGCAAGUGUGAAACUCAAAGGAAUUGACGGGGGCCCGCACAAGCGGUGGAGCAUGUGGUUUAAUUCGAUGAUACGCGAGGAACCUUACCAGGGCUUAAAUGGGAGUGGACAGCUUAGGAAACUAGGCCUUCUUCGGACCACUUUCAAGGUGCUGCAUGGUUGUCGUCAGCUCGUGCCGUGAGGUGUCAGGUUAAGUCCUAUAACGAGCGCAACCCCUGUCGUUAGUUGCCAGCGAGUGAUGUCGGGAACUCUAACGAGACUGCCGGUGUAAACCGUGAGGAAGGUGGGGAUGACGUCAAAUCAUCACGGCCCUUACGUCCUGGGCCACACACGUGCUACAAUGGCCAGUACAGAGAGCAGCCACUUAGCGAUAAGGAGCGAAUCUUCAAAACUGGUCUCAGUUCGGAUUGGAGUCUGCAACUCGACUCUAUGAAGCUGGAAUCGCUAGUAAUCGGAUAUCAGCCAUGAUCC
rnacentral:rRNA from 1 species